UAGCUCAGUCAGUAGGGCAUGAGAAUCUUAAUCUCAAGGUCGUGGGUUCGAGCCCCAC
rnacentral:tRNA from 1 species